CCAAAUCCUUUGUUUGGGUGAAGUUAAAAGAAAUGGAUUUGGAUAUGGCCCAAAUCCAUCUUGAAUUUCAGGGGUCCAAAUCCAUGGAUUUUAAAUCCCCUCACAAACCCAAGAAUUUUGAAAUCCCUCGCCCAGCCCUCACGCUCGUGCUCUCUUCUCAAUCCUUCAUCGGCUCCAGAAACUCUACCAAAAAAAAAAAAAAAACUCUGUCACGCAGACUCACGCUCUCACUUCCUCGACCAAACUUUUCUUCUUUCUCUCUUUCUCGCGACAUGCAGUGCUGUGUAUCCUUUGAAUUCUCCCAUUGCACAACAACCAUGUCAACAUUCGUUAUCAACAAGUUCUGUAGCUGAG